rnacentral:rRNA from 1 species
AGAGUUUGAUCCUGGCUCAGAGUGAACGCUGGCGGCGUGGAUUAGGCAUGCAAGUCGAGCGAUCCUUGUUAUUGAUGGAGAUUGAAGCUUCGGCUGAUGUUUCCUGAUUUAACGCGGGAUAGCGGCAAACCGGUGAGUAACGCGUGGGUAACUUGCCUCGAGGAGGAAGAUAGCUUCGCGAAAGCGGAGGUAAUACUCCAUAGUCCCCUGAACCUUAUUGGUUCAGGGUAAAGAUGGCCUCUAUUUAUAAGCUGUCACCUUGAGAGAGGCCCGCGUCCUAUCAGGUUGUUGGUGGGGUAAUGGCCUACCAAGCCAAAGACGGGUAGCUGGCGUAAGAGCGUGACCAGCCACAUCGGAACUGAGACACUGUCCGGACUCCUACGGGAGGCAGC